rnacentral:sRNA from 1 species
GUGCUGCGUAGCAGUGUCGCUGGCGUUGCUGUGGCCUUGGAUGCAGGCUCUUGGGUUCCCAAAAGAGUGCCUGCUGAUGAGCGGAAGUUCUGAGCAGGUUCGUGGUUAGUGAUUACACAGCCGCAGGGCACACCUUCUCUCACAGAGAGAUCUGAAACACAGCCUUCUUUGUUGGGACUCUUCUCUCCCAGAAGAGCCCUUGGGGAUAGGAGCCGCGUGUUUAUACUUUUGGUGCCCUGCCUGCAGCGGGAUUCCUGAACACUCGUUCUACGUGUCUUGAAGAAGGCUUGUUAUCAGCAGGGCUCAGGAAGAGAACCUUCAUUUGCUUGUUCUCAGAACACAAACAAAACCUGUGAAGAGUGCCUGAAGAACGUCUCCUGAACUUUGAGGCGUUGAUCAUCACCAUGUCAGUGGUCGGGGGAACCCUCCUCCUGGGCAUUGCCAUCUGCUGCUGCUGCUGCUGCAGGAGGAAGAGGAGCCGGAAGCCAGACAGGAGUGAGGAGAAGGCCAUGCGCGAGCGGGAGGAGAGGCGGAUACGGCAGGAGGAACGGAGAGCAGAGAUGAAGACAAGACAUGAUG